UCCAGCCCAAACCAUUCUGUGAUUCUGUGACUCACAGUUUAUUUUCUUCAGUGGGGCCUAAAUCUGUACCAUCUUGCACGAGAGGCAGUAGAAGUUUUCUGCUUCCUGAUGCUCCUGAAUAGGUAUUGUGUGUGGGGGCUAUGUAUUUGUAAGGUUGGCAGAAUGUCUUCUAUAGGACUCCUUUAUAGCUGGAAGCAUAAAGGUACAGUUGUGUUUGUUGGUGGCCUGGCACUAGAGCACUAUGACUGUAUUCAGGGAAGAGUUUAUUCUCUCUUGUCUGUAUCUUUUUAUAAUAUGCAUUAGAAUAGUUUCUUUACUGGGGCAGGAAUUGGGCUUCACUGAGCCUGCUCUGCUUAUACUUGAACAGAAACGUACUUGGUGAGUCAAAAGGGACAAUACACCAAGUCCCAAAACCAAAAAUAGCAAGCGCAGCCUAAAUCAAGGGAGGGGAGUGCUUAUUGUAGGCGAAGAGCUCAAAAGGCUUUGGAUGGAAGUGGGUGCUAGUUACUGUUAACCCACGUCUGAAGGCUACCCAGAACGAUGACUGUUUCUCAAACUGUCAAGAGAGUGUGUGUGGAGGAUCUCUCCAAAGGGAUAUAUGUUCUCAACAUCGUGUUUUUUCCUGACAGAGGAGGUGCAAAUGAAAACAGAAUGUAAUGAUUUAGAUGAGAAAGCUACUGUGAGAAAUCUCAUUUCCUGGUCUUUUUUUUUUUUAAAGUAGAAUCUUGUUUAUGCCAUACACUAAUUACAUCAUUUGUUCGGGCAAGAACAAAGGGAAUAGACUAUUACUGCUGGUAUGUCUGAAUUUGAGCUUUUGUUUUCCUUUUAUGCAAUGAGAUGGUUUGGUACUGAAUUAUUUGCCUUCUUUUUCUUUGGCAGAGGCGUUGUCGAUAAAAAUGAGAAAAAGUACAUCAUCAUGUGGCCAGGGAGCAAACUUUCAUGUGAUAGAAUAAGGUGAGUCAUGGGCUACAGUGAGAAGGAAAGAUUUAGAGAUUCGGCUCAAGUGCUGGAAUGAUACAUGGUUGUGCCACGUGGGUUGUUCCC